AGCAUAGCGAUUUGGGAUAAGUCUCUUGGAAAAGAGCAGCAUCGAGGGUGAUACUCCCGUUUGUAUCUAAGCAUAGCGAUUUGGGAUAAGUCUUCAACGAGUCGAGUUGUUUGGGAAUGCAGCUCAAAAUGGGUGGUAAAUUCCAUCUAAAGCUAAAUAUUGGCGAGAGACCGAUAGCGAACAAGUACCGUGAGGGAAAGAUGAAAAGCACUUUGGAAAGAGAGUUAAACAGUAUGUGAAAUUGUUGAAAGGGAAACGAUUGAAGUCAGUCGUGUCUAUUGGACUCAGCCGGUUCUGCCGGUGUACUUCCUUUAGAUGGGGUCAACAUCAGUUUUGAUCGCUGGAAAAGGGCAGGAGGAAUGUAGCACUCUCGGGUGAACUUAUAGCCUUCUGUCGCAUACAGUGGUUGAGACUGAGGUGCC
rnacentral:rRNA from 2 species